GAUUUUUUCCAUAUUUACUAAAUAUAUAUUCAUUUAUUAAAGCUUUAUCUAUAAUUUUAACAAAGUAAGAUUGAAAUAAUAUUCAUGUAACAAAAAGAUCCGAAAACCCGAAAAACCCGACAAAACCGAACCAAUCCAAACCGAUAUAGUUGGUUUGGUUUAAUUUUGAUAAAAAUCGAACCAACCUGGUCCAUGUACGCCCCUAAAUACAGCCUCGCACUCUUAUCCAUGGUUUUGUGCUCGAAACAAAUACAGUAAUUAGUGUAAGAAAUUGGUUGCAGUAGCAUCUAAAAAUUUUAAUAGUAGAUUUUUUAAUUUGAUUUUUCCUUCAAAGAUACUAAAGUUUGUAGAAAAAAGAAAAAAAGUUACAAAAUUUUUAUGAAGAAAAUUUAAAAAGACUGUCUAUUUUUUAACAGUAAAAAUAUUUUAGAACUUUAAAUUAAACUAUUAAAAUCUGUUAGGACCCGGUGGCACUAAACACUACUGCACAGCGGAAUAAAAUAAAUGAUCAACGAAACCAAAAAUAAAUGACACAAUAUUUAACGUGGUUCACCUAAAACGUUUAGGCUACGUCCACAAAUCCGACACCAACUUCCACUAAAACAUUUAGCAGGCAUACAAAGAGAGACUUCUCCAAUAAUUUGGAGGUACAACAAUUCUUGAGCUCUACCCAAAAUAGUGGCGCACACAAAAGUGUUUUCCGAAAAAUACCCGACUAGUAUUCUACUCACUAUUUUGUCACUCCCCUGUUAGGAAACAUUCCUAAAGGAACUAUAUCUCUCUCCCUCUCAAACUCUUUCUUCUUGAGUUUUUUUUUGGUGUGUUAUAUAAUGAAAUGGAAGGGGGUAUUUAUAGUUUUGAGAUAGGGACCAAAAGUGCAAAUCUCACCUACCAAGAAGGAUCGAUUUGCAAUACUACCAUCUCACCUACCAAGAAGGAUCAAUUUGCAAUAUUCCCAUCUCACCUACCACUCAUUGCAUCAUUGCUUAUCUCACUAAGGAGAGUUGCAUCAUUGCUUACCUCUCCCAUACAUCACCAUAAUUGUUGGAAAAACUAACAAUUCUCCCCCUUCAACUAUAUGGUGGAU
rnacentral:lncRNA from 1 species